rnacentral:lncRNA from 1 species
GAGCCUGAAUAUAAUUCUCAGGUGACACAGGCAUUGACUACAAGUUCAACAAAAUGGCAUUUUAGUUUAUUCCAGGCCUGAGACUCUGAGUUUAUACUUCUUUGUCUGGGGGAAAGUAAACUUUACUCACCAAUGCCUGUGCUGAUCAGAUAACCUCACACAGCCCAGACACACUGCAUAAUUCUCCGACAGCAAUAACUCAGCUCGCAGUUCCCAGGCAGAGAUUUGGGAGAAAGUCCAAUAUCCGGGAAGCACUAGGAUCUACAACUUCCUGUGGCCUGCCUAGUGAAAUUUGACCAGAUAAGAAGAGUUAAUAAGAAGCUCCCGAGAUAGAAAAUCUUUUAUCUCUGAAUGUGGAUAUAUUGAUGUUAAAUACCUGAAUGGAUGAGGUUAAUUUGAAUAAUCUUCUACUGUUGCAAGAAAUAUGGAAAAGUGCUCAGGAAAACUUGAAAAACUCUUCACACUUACAGCAUGAACUGAAAGAAGUCUUUUAUUAUUCUGAAAAAUGACAACUCCACUGUUUUGCGUAAGGGUAGAAACUUUUAAGGGCUGGACCCUUAGGCACCCCAUUGUGGUGCCUAGAAAGAAAUCAAGACUCAUAUUUUGGACCUGCCUUCUGUAACACUUUGCAAAUCAUGCCAGAUUCUCAUCAAGGCUGAACAUUUUACCUUGAGGUCCCUAAAUAUUUCCAACUACAAUUAAUGACUUGAAAUAAACAUUGCAAUGAAAGUAUUUAAUGGCUAUAAAUUCAAUCACCAAGAAGUUCUUCUCUUUUGAAUACUCAAAGAAUAGGAUCCCUGGGCAAUGACUUAUUAUUUCCCUUGCCUGCACUGCAAUGAUUACAGAGACUGUCCAGGAGUUGGAAACACAUCUGAGAUCUACACCUGAAAAGAGAAGGGAAGCUGGAAGACACAGUGGAUUGGCUUUUCAUACACCUGAGAUUGGACUGAAGUGGCAUUGGAUUGAUUGGACUGAGGUGCUAAGAGUCAACUGGGAGAUGGCUUCUUCAGGUUUGGUGGAAUGGCCUAAAGUAAAGUGAGACCAGGAAACAGGGUAUUUGGGUCUUAGGCCUAAAUAUGUUUCCAGAAAGUUACAUGAUCCUGGGAAAUUUAUAUACUGUUUACUGAGCCUCUGAAGUCAUCUAAAACUGAGAGGUCAGUAGUAGAUCAUUGUUUGCUACAACUUUUUCCUUUAUUUUUAGAAUUCCAUUUUCAAAUGAAAUUGUACACAGAAAACUUCACUUCCAUUGAUGGGUUCCAGGCACACAACUGAACCCAUAGGACUGUGAGAACUAAAGUUUAAAGCCACUGCAUUACAUCUGAUAAUGAGGAAUGGAUUUUUUUAAACGUGGUAAAUUAGUGCAAUGAGAUAUUAUUCAGCAAUAAAAAGGAACAAGCUACUGAUACAAGCAGCAAUGUGAAUGAUUUCAAAAGCAUGCUCAGUAAGAAAAGGCAUACACAAAAGAAUAUGUACAUAUAUGAUUCCAGUAACAGUCAAUUCUAGAAAAUCAAAAGUAACAUAUAGUGAAAGAAAUCAGAUUGGUGGUUGCCAAGGUUUGGGGUAGGG